GAUGAACGCUAGCUACAGGCUUAACACAUGCAAGUCGAGGGGCAGCAUWAYSRAAGCUUGCUUUKRUWGAUGGCGACCGGCGCACGGGUGAGUAACGCGUAUCCAACCUUCCCUAUAGUAGAGAAUAGCCCGGCGAAAGUCGGAUUAAUGCUCUAUGUUGUAUUUAGAAGACAUCUGAAGAAUACCAAAGGUUUACCGCUAUAGGAUGGGGAUGCGUCUGAUUAGGUAGUAGGCGGGGUAACGGCCCACCUAGCCGACGAUCAGUAGGGGUUCUGAGAGGAAGGUCCCCCACAUUGGAACUGAGACACGGUCCAAACUCCUACGGGAGGCAGCAGUGAGGAAUAUUGGUCAAUGGACGAAAGUCUGAACCAGCCAAGUAGCGUGCAGGAUGACGGCCCUAUGGGUUGUAAACUGCUUUUAUAUAGGGAUAAAGUCGGGGACGUGUCCCCGUUGUAG
rnacentral:rRNA from 1 species